rnacentral:rRNA from 1 species
CUAACGGGGGCUGGGGUGGGUAGGGGAGCGUCGUGUGCCGGGUGAAGCAGCCGUGGAAGCGAGUUGUGGACGGUUCACGAGUGAGAAUGCAGGCAUGAGUAGCGAUACAUGCGUGAGAAACGUGUGCGCCGAUUGACUAAGGGUUCCUGGGUCAAGCUGAUCUGCCCAGGGUAAGUCGGGACCUAAGGCGAGGCCGACAGGCGUAGUCGAUGGAGAACCGGUUGAUAUUCCGGUACCCGCUAUGCAGCGUCAAACAUCGAAUCAGGUGAUGCUAAGUCCGUGAUACCGCUUGUGCCGGCUUUGCCGGUGCGGGUUUGGUGGAGCCGACGGCCCGAGCUUGUAGUAGGUGAGUGAUGGGGUGACGCAGUGAGGUAGUCCAGCCCGGGUGAUGGUUGUCCCGGGGUAAGGGUGUAGCCCGGUGUGCAGGUAAAUCCGUGCGCCGUUACAGGGGUGAGACCUGAUGCCGAGCCGUUUGUGGUGAAGUGGGUGAUCCUGUGCUGUCGAGAAAAGCCUCUAGCGAGUUGUGUGGCGGCCCGUACCCUAAACCGACUCAGGUGGUCUGGUAGAGAAUACCGAGGCGUUCGGGUGAACUAUGGUUAAGGAACUCGGCAAAAUGCCCCCGUAACUUCGGGAGAAGGGGGGCCUCCUCUGGUGAUCCAGCGUGCUUGGUGAGCUGGGGGUGGCCGCAGAGACCAGCGAGAAGCGACUGUUUACUAAAAACACAGGUCCGUGCGAAGCCGUAAGGCGAUGUAUACGGACUGACGCCUGCCCGGUGCUGGAACGUUAAGGGGACCGGUUAGCUCCAUUUCGGUGGGGUGAAGCUGAGAACUUAAGCGCCAGUAAACGGCGGUGGUAACUAUAACCAUCCUAAGGUAGCGAAAUUCCUUGUCGGGUAAGUUCCGACCUGCACGAAUGGCGUAACGACUUCUUGACUGUCUCAACCAUAGGCCCGGUGAAAUUGCAGUACGAGUAAAGAUGCUCGUUUCGCGCAGCAGGACGGAAAGACCCCGGGACCUUUACUACAGCUUGAUAUUGGUGUUCGGUUCGGCUUGUGUAGGAUAGGUGGGAGACUGUGAAGCGGGCACGCCAGUGUUCGUGGAGUCGUUGUUGAAAUACCACUCUGGUCGUGCUGGAUGUCUAACCUGGGUCCGUGAUCCGGAUCGGGGACAGUGUCUGGUGGGUAGUUUAACUGGGGCGGUUGCCUCCUAAAGGGUAACGGAGGCGCCCAAAGGUUCCCUCAGCCUGGUUGGUCAUCAGGUGGUGAGUGUAAGUGCACAAGGGAGCUUGACUGUGAGACUGACGGGUCGAGCAGGGACGAAAGUCGGGACUAGUGAUCCGGCGGUGGCUUGUGGAAGCGCCGUCGCUCAACGGAUAAAAGGUACCCCGGGGAUAACAGGCUGAUCUUCCCCAAGAGUCCAUAUCGACGGGAUGGUUUGGCACCUCGAUGUCGGCUCGUCGCAUCCUGGGGCUGGAGUCGGUCCCAAGGGUUGGGCUGUUCGCCCAUUAAAGCGGUACGCGAGCUGGGUUUAGAACGUCGUGAGACAGUUCGGUCCCUAUCCGCUGCGCGCGUUGGAGUCUUGAGAAGGGCUGUCCCUAGUACGAGAGGACCGGGACGGACGGACCUCUGGUGUGCCAGUUGUUCUGCCAAGGGCAUGGCUGGUUGGCUACGUUCGGGAAGGAUAACCGCUGAAAGCAUCUAAGCGGGAAGCCUGCUUCGAGAUGAGGACUCCCGCCCCCUUUGAGGGGUUAAGGCUCCCUGGAGAUGACGGGGUUGAUAGGCCGGAUCUGGAAGCACGGUAACGUGUGGAGGUGACCGGUACUAAUAGGCCGAGGGCUUGUCCGU